rnacentral:rRNA from 1 species
UGUACACGCUGUGACUAGCAUAUCAAUAAGCGGAGGAAAAGAAACUAACAAGGAUUCCCCUAGUAACGGCGAGUGAAGCGGGAAGAGCUCAAAUUUGAAAUCUUAAAGGGUUUCCCUUUACGAAUUGUAGUUUAAAGAAGUGUUUUUCUGUUGAGGUUUUGGUAAAAGUCCUUUGGAAUAGGACAUCAUAGAGGGUGAGAAUCCCGUAUUUGACCUUUACUUUCAACUUUGUGAUACACUUUCAAAGAGUCGGAUUGUUUGGGAAUGCAGUCCAAAAUGGGUGGUAAAUUUCAUCUAAAGCUAAAUAUUGGCGAGAGACCGAUAGCGAACAAGUACCGUGAGGGAAAGAUGAAAAGAACUUUGAAAAGAGAGUUAAACAGUACGUGAAAUUGUCAAAAGGGAAGGCGUUUGACACCAGUGUUGUUUUUCUGAAAAUCAAUUAAAGAACUGUUUAUGCUAAGCUGUUUAGACUUUAUCAGCUAACUGUUUAGUUUUGAGCUUUUCUUUAAUGCACUUUUCAGUUAACAAGUCAACAUCAAUUUCUUUUGCUGUAAAAAAGCUUGAGGAAGGUGGCUUGAGAUUCGUCUUAAGUGUUUAUAGCCUCUUGCCUAUGCAGUCGGAGAGAUUGAGGUCUGCAGCGUAGAUCCUUCGGGGCUAAAUGCAUUUGUGCUAAGUUAUAGCAUUUUAUAGACAACUUGUUGACUAUGAUUUGUCUUGUAGCUUACUCGCUUAUGUUAUUUUACCUACGCUUAGGAUGUUGAAGUCAUCGUAUCGCGC